AUGAACGCUGGCGGCGUGCCUAAUACAUGCAAGUCGAGCGAACGGACGAGAAGCUUGCUUCUCUGAUGUUAGCGGCGGACGGGUGAGUAACACGUGGAUAACCUACCUAUAAGACUGGGAUAACUUCGGGAAACCGGAGCUAAUACCGGAUAAUAUUUUGAACCGCAUGGUUCAAAAGUGAAAGACGGUCUUGCUGUCACUUAUAGAUGGAUCCGCGCUGCAUUAGCUAGUUGGUAAGGUAACGGCUUACCAAGGCAACGAUGCAUAGCCGACCUGAGAGGGUGAUCGGCCACACUGGAACUGAGACACGGUCCAGACUCCUACGGGAGGCGGCAGUAGGGAAUCUUCCGCAAUGGGCGAAAGCCUGACGGAGCAAUGCCGCGUGAGUGAUGAAGGUCUUCGGAUCGUAAAACUCUGUUAUUAGGGAAGAACAUAUGUGUAAGUAACUGUGCACAUCUUGACGGUACCUAAUCAGAAAGCCACGGCUAACUACGUG
rnacentral:rRNA from 1 species